GUUGUUCAGUGUAUCAGGUCUGUUGUGUGGAAUUCAUCAUGUGGUAUCUCCAAGAGAAAUGGGCCAUGUGUGGUGAUGUAACCGUUAAUGACUUUGAGGUUCCGUUUUCGAUCUGGUGAAAGGAGGUGUGAGUAGUUAAUAAUGGGGAUGUAAAUAAUUGCAUUAGGGAAAAAGUGACUCUUGCUUCCUUGUGCAUUGAUGCAUUCUGUUUGAUGUUUUGUAUGGGUCAUUAUCCAUAUUGUUUAUGCCCACCGAGAGAACCACUAUGCAUGCUGGUGUCUAAAUGAACCUCUGUUUUCUCCAGGACCUUUUUGAAAUGGUCAAAUGUUGCUCCAGGGUAACUCUCCACUUGUAUGGGUUAUGAAAUGGAGGGAUUCUAUUAACAUUUGAGUCUCCCAAGACUAGUAUUGGUUUAUUUCCCUUAAAAUUCCAAUCUGCCACCUUGCCAUUUCGUGUAAUACUUAAAGGCCCGUAGAUGUCCUCCUAGGAUCAUAAAUUAAACUGAGGUAAGCUCCAAGUUGCCUCUUUUUCUGGGUGGCAGUGCAGAAGUCGAUGUGGUGAGAGAUUCAUUCAACCAUAGUGUUGUUAAAUAUGAACAUAAACGCCAUAUUGUGCAUUUAAAUGGUUUCAUUGUUUUGUUAAAGGAAAGGAAAAACCUAAAAGAGGAAGUGCCAAACUAAAACCAAACAAACCAUAAAUAUAUAGAGUAGAAAUAAAUUAUGAAUAAAACCAUGUUCUUCUCCAUCCAUUUUCCUGUCUGUUAAAACCCAUUUUCUAAUACAGGCCAUUUGGUGUUAUUGUCUGUAGGUUCUGGAUCCACUCCCGUGCUGCCCACAGGUCCAGAGGCCCACAGGUCCAGCCUAUAUGUGACUGUAACCCUGAUAUGGUUCUGGAUCCACUCCCGUGCUGCCCACAGGUCCAGAGGCCCACAGGUCCAGCCUAUAUGUGACUGUAACCCUGAUAUGGUAAGGUGAGUGAUGGGGUGCUCCUGGAAGUGGGUUAUGAGUAAAUUGUAGG
ensembl:lncRNA